rnacentral:rRNA from 1 species
CAAACUGUGGCGGAUGCCUUACCAUGCAAGUCGAACGGCAGCACGGGGGCAACCCUGGUGGCGAGUGGCGAACGGGUGAGUAAUACAUCGGAACGUGUCCUGUAGUGGGGGAUAGCCCGGCGAAAGCCGGAUUAAUACCGCAUACGCUCUACGGAGGAAAGGGGGGGAUCUUAGGACCUCCCGCUACAGGGGCGGCCGAUGGCAGAUUAGCUAGUUGGUGGGGUAAAGGCCUACCAAGGCGACGAUCUGUAGCUGGUCUGAGAGGACGACCAGCCACACUGGGACUGAGACACGGCCCAGACUCCUACGGGAGGCAGCAGUGGGGAAUUUUGGACAAUGGGGGGAACCCUGAUCCAGCCAUGCCGCGUGUGUGAAGAAGGCCUUAUGGUUGUAAAGCACUUUAAGCGAGGAGGAGGCUCCUGUAGUUAAUACCUACAGAGAGUGGACGUUACUCGCAGAAUAAGCACCGGCUAACUCUGUGCCAGCAGCCGCGGUAAUACAGAGGGCGCAAGCGUUAAUCGGAUUUACUGGGCGUAAAGCGUGCGUAGGCGGCUUUUUAAGUCGGAUGUGAAAUCCCCGAGCUUAACUUGGGAAUUGCAUUCGAUACUGGGAAGCUAGAGUAUGGGAGAGGAUGGUAGAAUUCCAGGUGUAGCGGUGAAAUGCGCAGAGAUCUGGAGGAAUACCGAUGGCGAAGGCAGCCAUCUGGCCUAAUACUGACGCUGAGGUACGAAAGCAUGGGGAGCAAACAGGAUUAGAUACCCUGGUAGUCCAUGCCGCAAACGAUGUCUACUAGCCGUUGGGGCCUUUGAGGCUUUAGUGGCGCAGCUAACGCGAUAAGUAGACCGCCUGGGGAGUACGGUCGCAAGACUAAAACUCAAAUGAAUUGACGGGGGCCCGCACAAGCGGUGGAGCAUGUGGUUUAAUUCGAUGCAACGCGAAGAAACUUACCUGGUCUUGACAUAGUAAGAACUUUCCAGAGAUGGAUUGGUGCCUUCGGGACUUACAUACAGGUGCUGCAUGGCUGUCGUCAGCUCGUGUCGUGAGAUGUGGGGUUAGUCCCGCCAACGAGCGCCAACCCUUUUCCUUAUUUGCCAGCACCUUUCGGGGUGGGGAACUUUUAAAGGAUACUGUGCCAGUGAACAAACUG